ensembl:lncRNA
CUGGACCGUCUGAUGCUGCGAGGUUGCGCGUCGCCGUGACAACCAGCCCUUGGCUGAAAGCAGAGGAUUGUGGGAAGUUCUUUUUUUUUGGACGAGGACGGGAACAAACUGUUUUUACUUUUCUCCUUUCGGCGAUUAUUUCUCUCUGCUGCAUAUUUUGUUCAUGGUUCUUAUUUACGCUGCAGCUACACGUUACGUGGCGAAUCAUUGGGAAGAAUAUCUGCUCAUUUAAAACGUCGCCAAUAGAAGGAACACGACACGCAGUCCUUCAUAUCUAAUUAAUAAGUGGACAUUGUCUCCACUCAGAUACGCCAACAGUUGUUCAUGUUAAUUAGUGAGGCUGUCAUUUUUAUCUUGUUCCACAUCAGCUGAAUGAGACCAUUAGCAUUUAGGACUUGUUAGAUGUGGACAUUUAAAUGUAUAGAUGGUUAAAGAUGACGUGAGUGUUAAUGGAGUCGACAUUCCUCGACUGAUUUCCAAACACAACUCGGCUAAAAGUGUCCGUAAUAACGUGAUGUGUUAAUAUGUGUCUUCAUGUUCAUGUCUCCAUUCCUCCAAGUCAAAGCUUCUCUGAUUUGUGGUCACGUGACACGAAUCCACUGCGUUCACAAUUGGGUGUUUUUAUAGGGUGUGUGUGUGCGUGUGUGCGUGUGUGUGUGCGUGUGUGUGUGCGUCUGACUCCCUCUCUCCUUCACCCUCUCACGUCACAGUCCUCCUCCACCCGAUAACCAACACCUCCCUCUUCAUCUCACCGGAGCACUCUAGAGCGGGAGGGCUGAGGAAGGAAGGAAGGAAGGAAGGAAGCGAGGAAGGAAGGAGUAGCGUAGGCUACUAGAGUCAGAAGGGAGGGAGAGCUGCAUGAAGGAUGGAGGGAGUACAAGAAGAGAGUGAAGCUGAAUGAAAGUAGGGAGGGGAGGUGGAGGGAGAGGAGAGGAAGAAGGAAAGGAGGAGAGAGCGAUGGGAACGAGGAAACGCUUUCUCUCCUUAUGUUUAAUCCUGUGGAUCCUCACACCCCAAAAUCUAAAAUAAAGGAGAAAAAACUAAGAUAGGAGGUCAGACGAGGAGAAGGAGAGAGAGGGGGGCAAAGGAAGGAGAGAAGGAGAGAGGGGUAAAGGAAGGAGAGAAGGAGCCGAGGAGAAGGAGAGAGAGGUGUAAAGGAAGGAGAGAAGGAGCCGAGGAGAAAGAGAGAGAGGUUUUAAGGAAGGAGAGAAGGAGAGAGAGGGGGGUAAAGGAGGGAGAGAAGGAGCCGAGGAGAAGGAGAGAG